rnacentral:lncRNA from 1 species
CCAGUCAUCCACAAGACAACUCCAACCAGCCAGACAAUCACCAACUGAAAAUUUACCGACAGCAGCCAUUCCAGAAUCUGUUGCAGCAAAAAAAUAAAAAAAUAAAACAAGAAAAAUUCAGCCACUUCUUCCAGCACCCUGCCCAGAACGGAACCCCAGCCUCGCCGCCGCCAGCAAACUGCCGGCUGCUCCAGUAAUCGCCGUCCCCCAACCCAGUCCCUCGUCGAGCCAGCCACCAACCCAAUCGCCGCCUUCUACAACGUACGGUCAACUGUUGUGAAUUAUGGGUUUGGGCUGGGUUAUUAAUUCAAUUAAUUGGGUUAUUAAUUAAGUGGGUUGGGUAUUAGUUAUUAAUUGGGUUUGGGCUUAACUUCAAUUGGGUUGGAUUUAUUUG